CGUCUCUCUUCUGAAACAUUACCUGGUGGACACAAAGCAAGUAUCUGUGCAGCGCGCCAUGGAGGAUGAGCGUCACAGCCUGGAGGAGCGCAUUAGGCGCCUGGAGGAGAAGCAGCAGAUUCAAGAGCCUAAGCCAGGGAUCUUCGAGAAAGUCAUCCUGCCACUAGCCAAUAUCUGUGCUCCUCUCAUCAUUCAUUUCCUGAAGUACAGAGUCCAGAUGGCAAAGCAGAAGAAAUAGGAUCGGGGCCUGCUACAGCUUCCAGCACAGAAGGAGAAAUAUGUCCUUGAAGAAAUGGUCCCGGUGGGGCCAAAGACCCCGUAGGUCGGCCCUGUAUUUGCAUUUGGAACCUGUCAGUAUUUACUUUAAUGUUCUCUUAUCUUUGACAUUUCAGAAAA